UUCACGGAGAGUUUGAUCCUGGCUCAGGACGAACGCUGGCGGCGCGCUUAACACAUGCAAGUCGAGCGAGAACCAGCCCUUCGGGGCUGGGGAAAGCGGCGAACGGGUGAGUAACACGUGGGUAAUCUGCCCUCGGCACCGGAAUAGCCCGGGGAAACCCGGAUUAAUGCCGGAUAGCCUCUCGAGCCUUCGGGCUCGUUGAGAAAAGGUAGCUUCGGCCUCUGGCCGAGGAGGAGCCCGCGGCGGAUUAGCUUGUUGGUGGGGUAACGGCCUACCAAGGCGACGAUCCGUAGCUGGUCUGAGAGGACGAUCAGCCACACUGGGACUGAGACACGGCCCAGACUCCUACGGGAGGCAGCAGUGGGGAAUCUUGCGCAAUGGGCGA
rnacentral:rRNA from 1 species